rnacentral:rRNA from 1 species
UGUAAACGCGUGCUAGUGUAGUGUCCCCGUGGUCGAAAGGUCGUGGUAAUCCAUAAUCCAUGUCAAGACUGGGAUAGUCCCCUGUAACUAUUGGUCUUGAACGAGGAAUUUUUAGUAAUCGCCAGUCAUUAACUGACGAUGAAUGCGUCCCUGCCCUUUGUAA